rnacentral:rRNA from 1 species
UACGUAGGGGGCGAGCGUUGUCCGGAUUCAUUGGGCGUAAAGAGCUCGUAGGCGGUUUGAUAAGUCGGGUGUGAAAUCUCCAGGCUCAACCUGGAGAGGUCACUCGAGACUGUUAUGACUAGAGUCCGGUAGGGGACCACGGAAUUCCUGGUGUAGCGGUGAAAUGCGCAGAUAUCAGGAGGAACACCGGUGGCGAAGGCGGGUCUCUGGGCCGAUACUGACGCUGAGGAGCGAAAGCGUGGGGAGCGAACAGG